GACGAACGCUGGCGGCGUGCUUAACACAUGCAAGUCGAGCGGUAAGGCCCUUUCGGGGGUACGACGAGCGGCGAACGGGUGAGUAACACGUGGGUGACCUGCCCUCCAGCUCUGGGAGUAAGCCUGGGAAACGUGGGUCUAAUACUGGAUAUGACUCCACGGUGCAUGUCGUGGGGUGGAAAGCCUUGUGCGGCUGAGGAUGGGCCCGCGGCCUAUCAGCUUGUUGGGUGGGGGG
rnacentral:rRNA from 1 species